rnacentral:rRNA from 1 species
UACGGGGGGAGCAAGCGUUGUUCGGAUUUACUGGGCGUAAAGGGCGCGUAGGCGGCCAGCACAAGUCAGUUGUGAAAUCUCCGAGCUUAACUCGGAACGGUCAACUGAUACUGUGCGGCUAGAGUGCAGAAGGGGCAACUGGAAUUCUUGGUGUAGCGGUGAAAUGCGUAGAUAUCAAGAGGAACACCUGUGGCGAAGGCGGGUCUCUGGGCCGAUACUGACGCUGAGGAGCGAAAGCGUGGGGAGCGAACAGG